AACGGCCAUACCAUGCUGAAUAUGCUGUAACCGAAGUCAAGCAUCGUUGGGCGUGGUCAGUACUUGAGUGGGUGACCACCUGGGAACACCGCGUGCCGUU